rnacentral:tRNA from 1 species
GACUCCGUAGCUUGAAGCGCCCGUCUAGCGAAUUGGGAGUCGUGAGUUCGAGUCUCACCGGAGUAC